UUUCCGUAGGUGAACCUGCGGAAGGAUCAUUAAAGAUAUAGUCCCCCGUCCAACUGGGCUGGAGUUUCCUAUACCGCCCCUUGUUUAUUGCACCUUUGUUGCCCUGGCAGGCCUGCCCUCGGGCUGCUGCCUCCGGCCGGCUCGCGUCUGCUAGAGGACCUAAACUCUGUUUAUAUAUGAAGUCUGAGUAUGAGAAAAUAGUUCAAACUUUCAACAACGGAUCUCUUGGUUCUG
rnacentral:misc_RNA from 1 species